UGGAUUGAUGCUCUCUGGAUUGGGCGUUCAGCUGUUAACUGUUAAGUUGUGGGAUCGAGGCCCACCAACCCUG
rnacentral:tRNA from 1 species